rnacentral:rRNA from 1 species
GCCUUGGAGUCUCAGAGAGUUUGAUCCUGGCUCAGGAUGAACGCUAGCUACAGGCUUAACACAUGCAAGUCGAGGGGCAGCGGGAAGUCAGCUUGCUGACUUGCCGGCGACCGGCGCACGGGUGAGUAACGCGUAUCCAACCUUCCCCUUAGUAGGGCAUAGCCCGUAGAAAUGCGGAUUAAUACCCUAUGUUGUUCAAUGCGGACAUCUAACUUGAACCAAAGGUUUACCGCUAAGGGAUGGGGAUGCGUCCGAUUAGGCAGCAGGCGGGGUAACGGCCCACCUGGCCAACGAUCGGUAGGGGUUCUGAGAGGAAGGUCCCCCACAUUGGAACUGAGACACGGUCCAAACUCCUACGGGAGGCAGCAGUGAGGAAUAUUGGUCAAUGGGCGCGAGCCUGAACCAGCCAAGUAGCCGUGCAGGACGACGGCCCUAUGGGUUGUAAACUGCUUUUAUGCGGGGAUAAAGUCACCCACGUGUGGGUGUUUGUAGGUACCGCAUGAAUAAGGACCGGCUAAUUCCGUGCCAGCCGCCGC